GGCGGAUUCCACCACCAAACCUCUCCUGCAGCGAUGCCAGGAUCUGGUGAAGAUCAUCGACGAGUAUCCAGCUAAGGAGCUGCAUGUGAUCUUCCCCUGGCUGGUAGAGUGUGUGUUCGGCAGUCUGGAUGGAUCAUCUCUGGAUGGAACCUGAGACUCCUUCACUGUCGGAGCAACGAGUACGGCGUGGUGAUGGAGUUCCUGAACCCCAGCGGUCCCAUGAUGAAACUGGUUUACAAACUCCAAGCAGAAGAAUACAAAUAUGAAAUCCCCAUCAACUAUCUGCCGGGUCCAGUGAAGGCCUGCAUCCAGGAAGGAGUUCCCCCGACUGUCCUCUGUUCCACAACAAGCUGCAGUUUCCUCUGUCUGGUCUGCUGACUCUGAACAUCGCUCUCAAUCCGUUUGAAUUCUUCAUGUUUAACUUCGCCUCCUGUCUCAUCACGCCAAAGGUGAGUCUGUCUGCAUCCUGAAGCUCGUUCACUGGACCUGCAGACUUGGG